rnacentral:miRNA from 5 species
UCACAGCCAGCUUUGAUGGGCA